rnacentral:rRNA from 1 species
AGGACGAACGCUGGCGGCGUGCUUAACACAUGCAAGUCGAGCGGAAAGGCCCUUCGGGGUACUCGAGCGGCGAACGGGUGAGUAACACGUGAGUAAUCUGCCCCUAGCUCUGGGAUAGCUCCGGGAAACCGGGAUUAAUACCGGAUACGACCACUUUAGACAUCUGUUGUGGUGGAAAGAAUUUUGGCUAGGGAUGAGCUCGCGGCCUAUCAACUUGUUGGUGGGGUAAUGGCCUACCAAGGCGACGACGGGUA